rnacentral:rRNA from 1 species
UCAGGAUGAACGCUAGCGGCAGGCUUAACACAUGCAAGUCAGGGGCAGCGGGAUGUAGCAAUACAUUGCCGGCGACCGGCGGAUGGGUGCGUAACGCGUAUGCAACCUACCUUAUACAGGGGAAUAACCUUUCGAAAGGGAGACUAACACCCCAUAGUAUUGAUUUAAGGCACCUUAGAUUAAUUAAAUAUUUAUAGGUAUAAGAUGGGCAUGCGUAUGAUUAGCUAGUUGGUAAGGUAACGGCUUACCAAGGCGACGAUCAUUAGGGGUUCUGAGAGGAAGGUCCCCCACGCUGGUACUGAGACACGGACCAGACUCCUACGGGAGGCAGCAGUGAGGAAUAUUGGUCAAUGGGCGCAAGCCUGAACCAGCCAUGCCGCGUGCAAGGAAGACGGCCUUAUGGGUUGUAAACUGCUUUUACAUAAGACUAACCGUAUAUUUGCGAAUAUACCUGAAUGUAUUAUGAGAAUAAGGAUCGGCUAACUCCGUGCCAGCCGCGGC